GCCCCGCGGCCCCGGGCAGAGCGGCCCCGGGUGGGGGCGGCCCGGCCCGAGGGAGAUGGCGCGUGCGGAGACGGCAGGGAACUCGGGGCUCAUUCGAAGGGAACUAUCGAGGCGUAAAUGGAUUUAGCGAGAUAGAAGUAGAUAGGCCGGACUGAGGGGGGGGAAAAUGUGGCGUUGGUGAUUUUUUUUUUUUUAAAUCACUCUUGUAAUCUCAUUCAGUCUGAAGGGUAAAUAAAUUGCAGUUGUAUGGAAAACAAUUGGCGCUACAUGUGUUCAUAACAGAUGGGAUCUUAUCACAGUUUAACUGUAAUAAAUUCUGACUUCUGGAAAUUGUAAUCUUUGCUCCAUGGUAGAUGUUGUCUCGUUUCUGCUGUAAUAACAGCGCUGCAAAACUUCUGCGAGCGAGCAGAAAAGUUUCGGCGCUGGCGCAGCUCAGCAGCCCCGCAUCCUGCGGCCGCCGUGCUGCCAGCGCUCUCCCAAAGUUUCGCUGAGAACGCCCUCGGAAAUCAAAGGAGGAGAAAAUGCUGGCGCCCAGGGAGGCGAACAGCUGAUCCUGCCCCCGUCGGCGACGUUAUUUACUAAGGCCAAUGAUCACGGCCCUUAAAAGACACGCAGAGCGGCUAAGAAUGAGCUCUCUGUGUGGAGCGGCCCUGGCAAGUGACAGAUCACGCUUCGCUUCGCGAGCGCAGAAAAUGUCAGAGGAACGCAGCUCCCGAGGAAGCCGAGACCAAAGUUCAGAUUAAUCCCCCCGCGCUUCACAUCACAAAAUUAAAAUAUAAAUUUGAAUAACCACCGAAAGAAUAAAAUUAUAACAAUAAAUUGCCAAAAUUCACCGAGGCUGGGGACUAAUUAUUUCCUCCAUCUCGGCUUCCCAUUGCUGUUUAUCAAGUCGCAGGAUAAAUGCUUGUAAAUCCACUCCAUUUCCAUAAAUUCUCUCGCCGCCUUCUUUUUGGCCAAUGCUUUUGCAACAUUAAUUGAUUUUAUUGCACUUUCUGAAGUCACUGUAUAUUACGCUCAAGCAAGUUUGCUCUGAAAGCGUUGCUCUUUCCAUCGUCACAUGAAAGCCGGGAAGGGGAAUUACUGAAGCCACCACAGCCUCGAGUCUCCUUUUUUUUUCCCUGCUGUGAUCUUGAUGGCAAAUGCGAACUGCAAAUUACAAAUUUCUAAUAAUCCGCGCUGUUACAGAACACAGCCCCUGUAUCGCCGGUGAGAAAUUAGCAUGAAUCCCAGCAACGCAUUUCCCCAUUGUUUCUAAACCGGGGGUGGGGUGGAGAGGUGAAACGCUACUGAGCACCGAGAUCAAACAGACCGAGGAACACUUACGGUGUGAGUCAUUACCGCUACUGGACGGACAGCAGUUAUUUUUAGGAAAGGAUUUUCGAUGUAUAACUGCAAGUUUAAUUCUCCUUAGAAGUACACAGGCUCCAGGUUUCCCUUCUCCCCUUCCCCCUCAGUCUUCUUAGGAGCACUGCGCCCACCCAGCCUUCACCUGGUGGACCUUACUCGACACCAGCGAUCGCCCUGUGCUCCCUGGCUGCACCUGGCCUGAGCCGAAGCCGCCCUACACCCCACACCGGGCAGCCCCAGCCUCGCAGCUCUGGCCCUGCCCGCGGGCGGGACCCAGCCAGGCUCUGACUGCCUGCAGCCCUGCACAGAUGCACUUGGAGGCACGGUGGUGAUGCAAGAGCCCUGUUAAAUGGAUAGGGGUAACUACUGGAAGUGACAGAAGAGGCACACAGGUUUCAGCUGUGAUGAGAAGGUCCCAGCGAGAAAAUCUGAAGAGAUCACCCAAGGUGGAUCAGAAGUAAACAGAAGGGCAAACUGGCAUGGUCAGGUCAGCUGGACUGAGGAGCUAACAUACUGAGUAUGGAGACUUGUUACUUAAAGCCAAGAGUG